rnacentral:pre_miRNA from 1 species
ACUCUUUCCCUGUUGCACUACUGUUAAACUUGUAGCUAGCAGUGCAAUAAUGAAAGGGCGU